rnacentral:piRNA from 1 species
UGUAUCAACAGAAGAUGGUGACAGUGUCU